rnacentral:rRNA from 1 species
GACGAACGCUGGCGGCGUGCCUAAUACAUGCAAGUCGAGCGAAGUUUUUCUGGUGCUUGCACUAGAAAAACUUAGCGGCGAACGGGUGAGUAACACGUAAAGAACCUGCCUCAUAGACUGGGACAACUAUUGGAAACGAUAGCUAAUACCGGAUAACAGCAUUAACUGCAUGGUUGAUGUUUAAAAGUUGGUUUUGCUAACACUAUGAGAUGGCUUUGCGGUGCAUUAGCUAGUUGGUGGGGUAAAGGCCUACCAAGGCGACGAUGCAUAGCCGACCUGAGAGGGUGAUCGGCCACACUGGGACUGAGACACGGCCCAGACUCCUACGGGAGGCAGCAGUAGGGAAUCUUCCGCAAUGGGCGAAAGCCUGACGGAGCAACGCCGCGUGAGUGAAGAAGGAUUUCGGUUCGUAAAGCUCUGUUGUUAGGGAAGAAUGAUUGUGUAGUAACUAUACACAGUAGAGACGGUACCUAACCAGAAAGCCACGGCUAACUACGUGCCAGCAGCCGCGGUAAUACGUAGGUGGCAAGCGUUGUCCGGAAUUAUUGGGCGUAAAGCGCGCGCAGGUGGUUUAAUAAGUCUGAUGUGAAAGCCCACGGCUCAACCGUGGAGGGUCAUUGGAAACUGUUAAACUUGAGUGCAGGAGAGAAAAGUGGAAUUCCUAGUGUAGCGGUGAAAUGCGUAGAGAUUAGGAGGAACACCAGUGGCGAAGGCGGCUUUUUGGCCUGUAACUGACACUGAGGCGCGAAAGCGUGGGGAGCAAACAGG